AUUGAACGCUGGCGGCAUGCCUAACACAUGCAAGUCGAACGAGUGGCGGACGGGUGAGUAAUGUCUUGGAAACUGCCUGAUGGAGGGGGCUAACUACUGGAAACGGUAGCUAAUACCGCAUACCAUCGGAUGUGCCCAGAUGGGAUUAGCUAGUAGGUGGGGAAAAGGCUCACCUAGGCGACGAUCCCUAGCUGGUCUGAGAGGAUGACCGGCCACAAUGGAACUGAGACACGGUCCAGACUCCUACGGGAGGCAGCAGUGGGGAAUAUUGCGCAAUGGGCGCAAGCCUGAUGCAGCAAUGCCGCGUGUGUGAAGAAGGCUUUCGGGUUGUAAAGUACUUUCAGCGGGGAGGCGUUACCUGCAGAAGAAGCACCGGCUAACUCCGUGCCAGCCGCCGCGGUAAUUC
rnacentral:rRNA from 1 species